GCUUAUGGGGGCUUUUCCCGCUGAACUUAAGCAUAUCACUAAGCGGAGGAAAAGAAACUAACCAGGAUUCCCUUAGUAACGGCGAGUGAACAGGGAAAAGCCCAGCACCGAAGCCUGUGGUCGUUUGGCCCCUAGGCAAUGUGGUGUUCAGGUUAGCUCGCGAAGAUGCUGCUCCACCCUAAGUCCUAUAAUGAGUAAGGUUACUCGGACAUGGCCCAAUGAGGGUGAAAGGCCCGUGGGGGUGGAGAUUCAGAAUGGCCAGUAUCUUCCUGAGCGGACCUUGGAGUCGGGUUGUUUGUGAAUGCAGCCCAAAGCGGGUGGUAAACUCCAUCCAAGGCUAAAUACUAGCACGAGUCCGAUAGCGAACAAGUACCGUGAGGGAAAGUUGAAAAGUACUUUGAAGAGAGAGUAAACAGUGCGUGAAACCGUUCAGAGGUAAACAGGUGGAGUUGAACUGCAAGCUCUGAGGAUUCAGCUGGUGAGUAUGGCAUGAGCUUGGUCAUAUUGGUUGUGUGCUCGGGUCUGCUUAGCUGCAGGUCUCCGCUUCGGUGGGGAUGCGCGAAUCACUCAUCAGGUAGGCGCCACCGUAUGCUACCUCCC
rnacentral:rRNA from 1 species